rnacentral:lncRNA from 1 species
UUAGCACCUCUGCCCACUUGUGAAUAUCAAUGUUAUAUUGAUGCACAAACAUGAUUAGCGUUUGUUUGUUUUGAUAUUCAUGAAGUUAUAUAAACAAAAGUGUUCUCUUACCUGAGCGCGGUGCUCACCCACGGAGAACUGUACGAUGGCAAAGUUGGGUGUGUGGCUGUCGUCGAUGCGCUCUACGGUGGACGAGUCUAUCUUCAGCUCGCUGCUUAUCUCAGCGCUCUGGAUGAAGUCGUCCGUCUUCAGGUCCUCCACAUGCUUCAGCUCCCCGUCCGCCAGCUGGAUGAUGGAGCCCUUGAUAAAGUAGGCGGGCAGCGAGGAGCCUGAGGGGGCUGAGGAGGGGGCCUGGGGGGUUGGGACCACCGGGAGGUGUAGCUGGGCCUGGACCACGCUCCCCCCGGCCCCAACAGGGUGGGACAGCGGAGGGUACGGGGCCGGGACCUCAAAUAGAUGCUCCUCUCUGGGGUUAGUGGUGGUGGUGGCGACGUAGGCGUGGGGGAGUGUGGCAGGGAAGGGCUGUGGUUGGCCUGUGGUGGCUAUGUGGGCAGUAUGGCCAGCCUCCAGGUUGGUGACCCCGGCCCCACUGACGGGGAUGAUGAUAGGUUGAGACCCUGAGGCCCCUGGGAUGAGCAGGUGCUGGGACAGACUGGUGUGGUACUGUUGACCCCCUGCACCCCCAGACAGAUAGCCGAUGAUGGGCUGCCCACCGGGGCCAGCCUGGUAGAAGUUGGUGGAGAGUUGGCCCAGGGAGAGGGCCGAUGCAUCACUGGCGUUGUGUGUGGGCUGGAUGACUGUGUGAGUGUGGGGGGGCAGGGAGCUGACGGCUGCCUUAAGACUCUCCACAUUGAGCGCAGGGGGGAAGGUGAACGUGGAGGAGGUGGAGGAGGAGGUGCGGUACACAGGUUUACCCAGGAGGAGGCUGCCUUUCUCUGGGUGCAAGGCAGAGGAGAGGGGUAGUUUUUCGGGACUCUGGUGGUCUUGUCCUCCGUGACUGUUGGGGACGAGCAUGAGAGAGGUCCGUAGCCCUGAGGCAUCAUGGGAGGUAUAGGUCUCAUAGUGAUGGUGAGAGCUCUGCUGCUGGUGGAGCUGGUGAUGGGAGGAAGAGGAGGAAGAAGAGGAGGAUGAGGAUGGGGCUCCUUUGCUUUCCUUCCUCUCAAAGCGGCCCCUCUUCUCCAGCUCUCCAUUGUGCAGCUCCCUGGGCCGGCCCUCCUCUCUCUUAGUCAGGGGCCCCUCGGAGCCCGCAUACUGUACCAGCACCUGGGAGCCCCCGCUGAAGGCCAGGGUGCGGUGGGGGUCGUGGUGCAGGUGGUGGGUCCCUCCGUGGGGCAAGGGGGCAGUCCGGGGGGCCACACUCUGAGAGGAACCAGAGAGCUGGACGUACUGGGGGCCAGUGUCCGAUACAGCCAGGCCUGGGGGAAGGGACUGUGGUGGGGGGCGACCCGGACCCACAGAGUGGUGCUGGUCCAGCUUGGAGGUGAUGGUGGUGUUGGGGUAGGGGUCAGGGUGGGAGCGUUGGGAUGUGGAGGUGGGUAGAGGGGGGGCUGGGAGGAGAGGUAGCCAGCGUAGGGGCCUGUGUAAGGGGAACUGAUGAACUGAAGGUUGUGGGGAAGCUGGGUGUAGUGGAUGGUCCCCCCUGGUUGGGACAGAGGAGAGCUGUACAUGGCAGGGAGCGAUGUGGUCACCACUCUGGACUGAUGUGAUGAAGAGGAGGAACAGAUGGAGGAAGGGACCAGGAAGUCUGAGUGUGUGGUAAUGGUGGAGCAUAGCGGUUUGUAUUGGGGCACGUCAGACUCACAGGGAGUGCUGGUACGCUGCCCACCUCUACUGCCAUCCCCGUUACCUCCGCUAAUGUCUCUGUUGUGCCCGCCAGCUACGCUGGCCAGCCAUGCCAGGUUCUCUCCUCGCUGGGUCUCGCUGGCGGGCGCCAUCAACAGGGGCCUCUCAUCUGCAGUGCUGGCUGGGAAAUCUCUCUUUUUGGGGGGCAGACACUCGUUGCUGCGCUCAUGGUUGGACUUCAUACUGUUGUCUUUUCUCUCUAGACUUUCUGUCACAUAGACACGCGUUGCUCCCACGGCAACGGCAGGUGUGCCUGUCUCUCUUUUCACACCAACUCUCUAGUUCUCUUUCUGCUCUGUUUAUGUCUCUGCCUCGUUCACAUUCUCUUUCAUUCCUGUCUUUGGCUUGCUCACUCUCUCUCUCUCUCUCCUUGGCCUGAUUUUCCUCGUUGACAGAGUAGGCCCUCCUGCUGGUUGUGUGGGUGGGUAGGACCAGGAGACUGGGAGACUGGAGGGGGUAGGUAGGUAGGUAGGUAGGUAGGUAGGUAGGUAGGUAGGAGGGUGGAGGAGGUAGAGAGGGAGGGAAGGGGUAGUUCAGCGUCUGUCCAACGCCUGGCUCAGGCUCUGCAGAGAGCAGAGAGCGGCACACCUGCUGUUGCCGUGAGAGCAGCCCGAGUCACACCCGGCGUUGUCGUGGAGAGAGGAGGAGAGCCGUCUGUCAGCUUCAUGCGGAAUCAUUUCCCUCUGUAAGCUAGCCUUCUGGACGGCAGCAGCAACCUGGGGAGCACAGAGAGCAAACAUGUUAGAUUAGGCUCUC